GGGGAGGCAGCAGUGGGGAAUCUUGCACAAUGGAGGAAACUCUGAUGCAGCGAUGCCGCGUGAGUGAAGAAGGCCUUUGGGUUGUAAAGCUCUUUUGUAGGGGAAGAUAAUGACUGUACCCUAAGAAUAAGGUCCGGCUAACUUCGUCCCAUCAGCCGCGG
rnacentral:rRNA from 1 species